rnacentral:lncRNA from 1 species
ACAGGGACAGGAUGAGACUGACAGGCCUGACUGAAUAACAAAGCCCUGUGGACUGUGAUUGGUAAAAGAAGACUGAGGUUCCCUGGCCUGAGAGAAGUGAAGAUCCAGCCAUGAGAGGAGCUAGCCAGUGAAUCUGGCCCAUCUCAGUGAUAUUAAGCUUGAGGGCCAUUGUGAAUCGAAUUUCAUCUCUGGGAACUGAGAGGACCCUGGAUGAAGCAACUCAUUGUGUUUAAGGAACUUUGGUGAUGGCUGAAAACUGGAUACCAAUUUUCACAAAGUGGAUCAAUGUGGAUGCCCCAGAUAAUAGUCACUGCAGUAUAGAACUUGAGCAAC